UGGCUGACGGGGGCCCUGCCAACUGCUGGGAAGCUGCUGGAGGCCUUGUGCACUUCCAGAAGCCAGCAGGGUAUUGAGAAUCAACUGUCUCUCCUCUCCAUUCUAAGCUGCCCCUAGGCAUUGUAACUAUGCUGAAUCCCUUGACAUUCUGAGGUGUACAGAAUGGCUAUGUGAAGGAAGAAUGGAAUCGGGGAAGCCACAGCUAGGAGGUGGUGCAAUAAUCUAGUCAUGAGAUGCAGCAGUAAGGAAUUAUGAUGAAGAUUGGGCACCCUGUCAUCUGCUACUGAAUUAUUAUCUCAUGUGGCGAAGAAGACAACAAAGAACCAGAAAGAGCCAGAGGAGGAGGAGAUGGGGUCUCAAGAAAUUUUUACCAGAGACCAGAUUCAUGUCUAAUUAAACAGCCUUCUCCAAUAUAAGGAAAGAAGACCUAAUUACUGUAUGUUGGAAAAAGAGAUAAUUUGUCUUUUUAAUGUAUUGGUAAUUGGGCUUGCUUCUGAACAUAAUGGAGAAAUCUACACAUCACCAACUGAUUAUGGACUUUGAGCUGGAUAGACAUCUGGAAUGUUACAGAUCAAAUUCUAUUACAAAGAAUGCUAAUGAAGUGAAAAAUUUCUCUGUAAGCAGAACACACACACAAAUUAAAAAAAAAAAAAAAAGAAAGAAAAAGAAAAAACAAAAGGUAAGUCCCAACUGAUUUCAGGCUCCCUUAUUUUAAACAAUAUUUAAUACAAAAAUAAUUUAAGUACACUGAGAUAUUGCAAGCAAUUUCUAUUAUUCACUGUAAAGGAGUCAAUAGGCAUAGCUUCAGUUCUGUAUUCUUUGUCCAUUUGUUGUUGUAUAAUAGCCCUGAUGCUUAAAUAUAGUAUAACCUUUUUGUCUUUUUAAUUUGGAGGUUUAUAAAUGUUAUUGUGAUAGUCACAUCCCGAUAAUCACAGAGUCAUGAUUGAAUCCUGUUAGAUGCCUGUGGCAAAUAAGGUAGAUUAUCUUGCUCAGCAUCUGUUCCUUGUGCUCUACUUAUGUUCUGCAGAGAUAAAAAGCUAAAGACUGCAUUUCUAGGACUACCUUUCAGCAAGAGUUCUGGAUGUAAUUUAGGUUCUACUAAUCAUGGGUACUCAUAUAGGACUUGAAUUCAGAAUUAACGUAAGUGGAGACAGGAAUCUAGCUUCUACUUGGCUGGUGAAAUGAGGCUCUGGAGCCAGCUACUCUGGUGGGGCAUCUUUAUUCCUGGACCACAGCAGGCAGUGUGUUCCCUAAACCAGCAACUGGCCCUCUGAUCUCCACAUUCCAGCUAACAUUGUGUGAUCAAAAUUCAGAAUUUGAGAGAGCAAUGUCUUGUUUUAGUUUCUUGAUUUUGUCAGAGGCAGAUGAGUGGUCAAUUCUGUGAUGUUAAUUUGAAAUUAUUCAAGGAGGCUCAAGCAACAGUCUCCUGUUCCAGAGCUUCCAAUAAUUUUGUAGGCACUUCAUUCCUUCUAUUAAAGAUGUUUCUGCAUGUAAUAGCUAGAGCAAUUCCUGUUAGCUUCAAAAGGACCCUGACUGAUAUUGGCAUUUUUAUAAAGCAAUUGAAUGAGAAAAUGAGAAAACCUAAGAAUUUCUGAAGUCUUUAACACUGUCAGAAUAGAGUAUCAGUGAAAAAUAAUAGAUAGGUAGAAAGACAGACAGAGAGAUAGUCCCAAGAUGCUGCGUCUGGGAACUAGAGUAGAGUGGGAAAUUUUAAAGAAUGUAUGAAGUAAAUCCGAGUCUACCAACAGGCAGGAAUUGAGCCUCCAUGGCCUAAUUUCAGUUACACAGAAAAACAAACUCUCUGCUGACUUGUCCCUAUGUUUUUAAAGGUGAUGAAAGCCUCUGUGAUUUUCCUUUCCACAAAAAAAUGACAGUAUCUUUUGUUAAUAAGAAACCUCUGCAAAAACAUGAUUUAAAAGUUAAUGUUCUUCAUCUUAAGGUCAUAGUUUUGAGAAUUACUUCAGGUGGUCUCUGAUACUCUGAGAUUAAGUAAGUACGAAAAAUUUUCAAGUGGGUGACAGAUAUCCUAUUGUGGGUGAUCUCCAGACUCGCAAAAAAAAAAAAUCCCAUGAUCUUCAGAAGGCCAAGAACCAAAGAGGAUUCUGUAGAUAUUUCAUGCAAAUCAUUGUUUCUACGUUAUAGUCAUACUUCUAUGUACUUGUGAAAAUUUCUGUGUUCAUGUGAUAUUGCAUUUAUUGUAUCAUAAUUUUGUGUAAAGCAUUUAGGAUAACUCUUUGGCUCUUGAUAAUUGCCUGACUGUGCAAAUAAAUAUUUUAUCCCUGUU